rnacentral:rRNA from 1 species
UACGUAGGGGGCGAGCGUUAUCCGGAGUUACUGGGCGUAAAGCGUGCGCAGGCGGUUUUGCAAGCCGGAUGUGAAAUCCCCGGGCUCAACCUGGGAAUGGCAUUCGGGACUGCAAGGCUGGAGUGCGGCAGAGGAGACUGGAAUUCCUGGUGUAGCAGUGAAAUGCGUAGAUAUCAGGAGGAAUACCGAUGGCGAAGGCAGGUCUCUGGGCUGACACUGACGCUCAUGCACGAAAGCGUGGGGAGCAAACAGG